AACGCACCUUGCGCUCCUCGGUGUUCCGAGGAGCAUGCCUGUUUGAGCGUCAGUAAAUUCUCAACCCCUCUCGAUUUUCUUCGAAAGGGUGCUUGGAUAGUGGGGGCUGCCGGGGAUCUGGACUCUCGUCUAGGACUCGGGCUCUCCUGAAAUGAAUGGGCUUGUGGUCGACUUUCGACUAUGCAUGACAAGGCUUUUGGCGUGAUAAUGAUCGCCGCUCGCCGAAGUGCAUGAAUGAAUGGUCCCGUGCCUCUAAUGCGUCGAUGCCUUCUGGCGUCUUCCUUAUUGACUUUUGACCUCAAAUCAGGUAGGACUACCCGCUGAACUUAA
rnacentral:misc_RNA from 1 species